AACACUUUACACGAAAAAAUAGUGUAUUUUUAUCGGUUAGUGUGCAUCGUGCUUCACUUAUUCGACUGGGACGUGAAACACCAGUUGCAGUUACGUUUACGAAAAAUCGCUCCGGCCGUCAGACUGACACAGUCUACACAACACGCUACCGUCUAAACCAUCCCUCUCAACUUACGCUCCCAUUUAUCGAGGAACUGAUCGAGAUUGGCGAUGGGCUCUGGCGCUGUCAUUACACGACGUGUUUUCGGUUAUCGUGCCAAUGGGCCGUGCAUCUCUUGGGGAACUCGAGACAGCGGACUGCAUGGCCUGUUUCGGCGAGUAUCUCAUACUAACAGUAUCCAUUGUAAGGACUAUCAUUGCCUUCCCUACUUACCACUGCUAGCGAAAUCGGUUGCUGUCCUGGGCGACGCCAUUCUCUUCCCUGGUCUUUCUCCAGCUGGUAGUGGAGACUGAACCAUGCCCCGUCUAUGACGACCGUACGCUUCCCAUGGACCUUUUAUUAAUUAACACACACGCGUUCAUGCGGCCUAGAAUCAAUUCACGGGAGACCCGUCCUUUUGGCUUCCAUAUGAAAUGACAGCUUCCGUAACGUAUCUGUCCGAUAAUCUUAAGGAUACGUCGCGGUUUAGGGUCGAGUCCGUGCAUAGACACACUUCUAUUCAUGUUCGGAGUCUCCCGUUUGAUGCAAUGCCUAACGACAACGCCGUACGUAAAACUCGAAAUAUAGCAUACAUUUGAGCAAAGAAAUUUGUUGAAUCAAGCAGUCGUUCACCCACUAAUUCUGCUAAGAAAGACGUGAACUUGUUUUAGUGACGAGCAGAGGUUGGUCUUCACCUUCAGGCUAACUUCCGCCCAGAUUUUAAACUUCCUGGCUAAUUGAGAAACGGCCUACCGUGUUAUAAUUUCAUAUAGAAAUAGAAUCGGGUUCGGGCACUUUUGGCAAUCCUGCUCCUUAACAAUUUUGUUUUAUGUAGAUGGACAACUGGCUCGCUCACGACCCGGAAGAUGUUCUUAUUGCGGCUGAAAGGGUGAAAUUUCCGGUCGGUGUCUACGUUCUGAACGCAGUAGUAUUUCGCGAAAUAUCUAUCAAGCCAUCACAACCUCGUGAAGUGCAUGUGAAAAAGCCUCUUUAUAUAUUCUAUAAAGCGGUAAAACUGUCGAUGGCUACUCUACCGAAGGUCAAAGUAUAGUUAAAGUAUAAUGGACAUGGCCAUGCGAAUGAUAACAACCUAACAAUGUCGAGUCGCUCAUCGUUGCUAUAAAGUAAGAGUCUAAAGAUAUGGAUGGGGUUUUUUGGUAAGGAUUUGUGAGAAGUUUAGACCUUAAAUGGGAGCCGUGGUUAAAACGAACGACAGUUAAACCGAAUACACGUAAUGAUCAAGAAUGCUUUUGUUGGCUGGCACCAGGACAACAUCUGAAUGAGAUCGUUCUUGCAGCCUAUCAACAGGUGCCAUCAGUUCCGGCCAAACUCAAUUUUUCAAACAUUUUGUAUAUUCACACAAUAUUA